rnacentral:rRNA from 1 species
GACGAACGCUGGCGGCGUGCUUAACACAUGCGAGUCGAACGGAAAGGCCCUGCUUUUGUGGGGUGCUCGAGUGGCGAACGGGUGAGUAACACGUGAGUAACCUGCCCUUGACUUUGGGAUAACUUCAGGAAACUGGGGCUAAUACCGGAUAGGAGCUCCUGCUGCAUGGUGGGGGUUGGAAAGUUUCGGCGGUUGGGGAUGGACUCGCGGCUGAUCAGCUUGUUGGUGGGGUAGUGGCUUACCAAGGCUUUGACGGGUAGCCGGCCUGAGAGGGUGACCGGCCACAUUGGGACUGAGAUACGGCCCAGACUCCUACGGGAGGCAGCAGUGGGGAAUAUUGCACAAUGGGCGGAAGCCUGAUGCAGCAACGCCGCGUGCGGGAUGACGGCCUUCGGGUUGUAAACCGCUUUCGCCUGUGACGAAGCGUGAGUGACGGUAAUGGGUAAAGAAGCACCGGCUAACUACGUG